CAGUUAAAAAUUAAAAGAAAAUAUAACAUAAAUGACAUGGAGAAUAAUGACAAGAAUGACAUGGCGUGUUACAUGCCUCUCAGGUGACAUAUGUGGUUAAAUUGCAUAUUCUUCAGAGUACUUUAGUAGCCAUGGAUAGAUCUCAGCUUGUGAACAUGGAUGGAUAAUUGAUCAUCUUUACUCUCCCUUGCUUCUUCAUUUAAUCAAUGUGCCUUCAUCACCUACUAUUGUAAUCAGGUAAAUCCAUUCACAACAUCUAUAUAACAUCACUUCAUUCACCAGAAUAAGCCACAUGCAUGACUUCGACAACCAUGGACGGCAACACUUAAAAACACCCAAAUUCUCUAAAAUAAUCAAUUUUCUUCAAUUAAAAGUUGGAGACAAAUCCAAGCUCCUCAUUAGCUUCUUCUCUAGUACUCUCACAUCAGUCCAAUUAAAAACCCAUCACCAUCUCCUCAAAUCAAUCAUCACAAUCUCCUUAGAUCUUGCAUCGUAUUAAUUUCUUUUCAAAAAUGAUAAAAUAUAGGGAAAAUUCAAAAUUUAACUCAUUAAUUAGGUCAAUUUUUUCUCUCUAAGGGUUCGGUCCAAAAGAUCAUAUGAAACUGGGUUCUGUGAAAAUCAAUAUUCGAUGCCAAAAAAAAAACCAAAUAAAAACCAAACAGACAAUAGGUAAAUAGUUUUAGUACAAUAAAAACAUCAAAGCACAGACCUUUGGGUGAGUUGGUGGACUGUUUUCAAACCCAGAUUCGCCAAUCUCCAUGGGUGAGGGAAAGAGGAAUGAGAGAUGGAAAGAUAUAAAAGAGAAGAUGAGAAGAAGAUUCUCCAUCAAUAAAAUCCAGCGAGUCACCGUGGCGAUAGUGGUGACCAGAUAUUGCGCAAUGGAAGAGAAGCCGCGGCACUUUGAUGGUCUAAAAGAGCCGCAUGUUGGUGGAGAGGGCAAGAAAUUGGAGUUUAAAAUUAAAAGGGUCAAAGAUAUAAAGUAAAGUAAAAGAAUUUAGUGUUCCAAGCUUUUUUUUACUAUAUUUAUGCCACAUAAUUUGUUUUUUGUUUUCCAUUUUUUUUGCAUAGGCACAUAGACAAAAUCUAGACGACUGCUUAAUUAUUUUGACAAAAUGACAAUUUAACAAUUUUAAUUAGUUCAAUGGGACAAUUAUAUAAUUUAAAAGUAUAAUGGGAUAUUGCACAAAGUGUGCCAAGUACAAUGGGAUAAAGGUUAGUUUUGUCGUUUUUACAGUUAUAUCUUGAAUCUGCGUGUUUAUGAUUAUGUUGGAUGAUUGUGAAAAGUCACUCUUUUUUACUUGAUGUGUCACGUUGGAUGUUAACAACAAAAAAAACUGAGAAUUUCAUGUUCAUCAUCAAAACAAAUCAAUAGUUUUCAACAGGAACAAAACUUAUAUUUAUGAAAACAUGCAGUGAUAUGAUGACCUUAUCUAAUUAAGCUUUCAAUUGUUGUGGCAUGAGUUACCUCAGCGCCUAGCAAAGCCUCCGGUCAAAGAAAGCACAAGGCCGGUUGAUCUGGUACUG
rnacentral:lncRNA from 1 species